rnacentral:rRNA from 1 species
CCCAAACAGAGAAGGGGAGAGAGGCGGGGGAAGAGGGGUGGGUGGGGCGGGACGAGAGGGGGGAGACGCCCACACAACACCUCCCCUCCUCCUCGUUCUUGGUGCUCGACGACGACGACGGCGACGACGGUUGCGACGUGUCGGACCCGAGCGGCUAGUAACUAACGCGUAGAUAAUGGAAGGAGAAGACACGAUUUGUUAGGGUAGAUAGGGAAUAUAUAUAGGAGGACCAGGAACGGUUAGAGAGGAGUGAAGAUCUAAAGCCCCUGACGGGGAGGGAUGGCAUCGCAACGAUUCAUCAACGAAGAAGAAGAACCAAAGAAAAGAACUAACGAAACCCAGAGGCCAAAAAACCCAGGAGCCAAAGAACCAGGAGGGGACUUAGAACAUCUCAAGCAAGGAAAGCGGCAGCCAUCGGUACCCGCUGUCCUAAGGCGGCGGCCGAGUGGACGUCGUCAUGAGCGUCAGGGGACAGGUAAGACGCGGAGUAGUGGAGGUGGAGUUAAGGUACUCCAUGAGACGGAGCAGACUAUCUCUUUCCAUACACCGACUCAACGAACGACUCUCCGUCUUCGAUCGGGGUAAGCAAGUUCAAGAAGGGAUGACAUGGUCCGAGAACUUGGUUCUCUAAAACGCCCGUAGAAGAAACGGCGGAUUGGUAUUAAAACAACUACGACUCUCUUAACUCGUACCAUCGGGUAAUUCCAAUGGACCGGUGGGUCACUUACCAGUUGGUUACCUAGACCUCCCUACCAGUCCUUCCGUUCGUCUCGUAUACCCCCAAGACGUUCGUAGUGGUUACUCGACCUUACCACGAGGUCGUGAACCACCAUGGGGACAACAGUUCUUUGAACACUCCGAUCUACAAGGACACCUGUUCAUAGGAUUGAAGUUGAAACAACCGGCAGAUAACCCCGGUGCUCCUUUGAGGGACUUUUCUCAACUUCGAUGCUGAGUUACGUCUCAAAUAUAAGCACCCGCACCUAGUCAAUUUCUGAGACACUUCCUUCUCUUCGACUCUCUAUUCGGACCUAUACUCGUGGACUUACUCCGUGACGUGCACGAACACCUUCGUCUCAAGGGUCGUCUGUAAUAACUACACGCAGAUUUGGUCCGACACUGGUAGGACCUUCUAGAAGAGUUUGGUUACCUACUCAGGUACCUGAUGAUGUUCUUCGUCGUCGACUCUCUCGACCGGUAGGACUUGCCGUGAGACUCCCUCCUUUCGGGUUCGGGGGUGGAAUCGGGCUCGUAGAGGGGGAAAUUGAGGCGGCCCUACUUCGCAGGCUUUUGCCCCGCCACUAGAUUUGAACCAGGCAGACUUAGACUACUGUUCCCACCUCUACUAACCACAACGUAUAUGGCCCUACUACUCACGACCGGAUACGGACAGUACUAGACGCGCGAAAUGGUUGGCAUACUACCCAGGCACCCGCUUACUACUAGGAGCAACCCGAACUAACUACAAACUGCGACAAGGAUAAUAAAUAAGAAAGACACGUUAGACUGAAACCUUUUCAACUGUAACAAAUAACCAAACCCCAUUCAAUUGUUCCGGUCCACCGGUAGGUUCACAGCCUAUUAUUAGUCGGUCCAUAACACACGGACCUUUUUUAUCGACACUAUACUAUAACAGUACACGACCACGAAAACACACGAUCAUCACCAUCAUGAUCUGUCCGUCCGUCUGUCCGAGACAAUUACUAACUAAACGUAAGUAUUAAAGGGAAAGGAAC